UACAGAAUCAUUGUGAGUUACUUUAGAUUUCGGUGCCUAGAAUUUUCACAUGUUUCGAUUCAUGCGAUCUGGCAAAGGGGAGGUCGAUGUGUAUCGUUUUAUGUCCA